rfam:Pseudoalteromonas tunicata D2 1099591001424, whole genome shotgun sequence.
CAAAAUCACCGUAUUUACUUUUUUAGCUUUUUUAUGGACCACCUAAAUUUGGGAGGCGAUUCCGUCACGGCAUAAAAAAGUCAAAACGAAUUCAAGCCUCCCAACCGGGAGGCUUUUUUUUU